UGACAAUUCAACCAAAUGGUGGAGGGGGGGGGGUGCAAUCCCCGUAACCACCCACUUCUAACAGGGGCGGAUCCAGGAUUGCGGUUAUACGGGGGCACCACUUUAUGAGGCCCCCAGUGGGUCCAGGGCAAAGCCCAGGUGGGGGACAAGGGGGCGAAGUCCCCGGAAGCUCCUGGAUUUUACAUGCAGAUUUCAUAGGGCUUGAAAUAUGUCUCCUAUUUAGUCAUUGUACUAUUUUCUAUCAUCUUAAAUAAGGUGAAAUCACAGGCACUCGACGUUUUAAAUAUCUAUGAUAAGUCUUCCUGUAUGAAUAUCAUGUUUACAGGAAGACAAUUUUUUUUAUUAUAGAUAUUUAAAACGUCGAGUGCCUGUGGGUGAAAUUUAUAAAAUGACGCAAAUUUUAAGGAUUUUUGGAAAAAAUAAGUUUUCCCAAUAAAGUAAUUCAAGAAAUUAAAAGAUUUUGUCAUUUAUUUCUCGGGGAGUGGAAUGAAUUAUUGCUUCUUUUAUCGUUUAGUACGUUUUCCUAAACAAGAUAUACCACGAUUUUAAAUUUAAGGGGGGGGGGGGGGGGGGGCUUAAAUCCGCUACUGACUAACCUCAAUCUGUCUGGUCACCGCCACCGAGCUCCCUAAAAUUUUCAAAAUUAAGGUAAAUCGUGGUCUCCAGGAAAAUGUAAACGGUAAAUGACGAAAUCUUUUGAUUUAUUGAAUUACUUUAAUUGGGAGAACUUACAUUUUUUCCAAAAAUCCUUAAAAUUUGCGUCAUUUUAUUAAUUUCACCUCAUUAAGAAUGACAGAAAAUAGUAAAAAUUACAACUUAGGAGACAUAUUUCAGACCCUAUAUAAAAUCUGUAAUGUCACGCAAGAGCUGGACCCACUGGGGGCCACAAGGCGGACCCCUGCGCCCCCUAACCACAAUUACCCUUACCAAAAUGUAAAGUUUGCUGCAAAUUUGCCGCAAGUUUGCUGCAAGUUUGCGGCAAACAAAUCAGUGUGCCAGAGCUGUUUGCCAGAAGUGUGCAGCUAAUGCCGCUAGCGGCAUACAGUGUGCCACUAGCAGCACACAGUGUGCCACUAGUGGCACAGUGUGCCAGAAGUGCGCCACAACUUUUCCUAAAUGAAACAGUGUGCCAGAAGUGCACCAUAACUUUUUCUUUGGUAUUCAUAAUCAAAACUGUGUGCCAGAAGUGCACCACAACUUUUUCUUUAGUAUUCAGAAUCAAAACUGUUUGCCAGAAGUGCACCACAAUUUUUUCUUUGGUAUUCAGAAUCGUGUGCCGGAAGUUCACAACUUUUUCCUUAAAAUUUAGAACUGAAACAGCAAGGGCAGCAAAGUUCACGACUUUUCUUGAAUAUUUAGAAUAAAAGAGCCAUUUCAAUAUAUCCAUCACAACAUUUUCUAUAAUAGAACAUAUAUGCAACAUUUCUUGCGUACCCCUUCCAUCUUCUUGUCUUAUUAAUGGGAAUUAGCGGUCAUUUUGUCACCAAAUAUUGAAUUCAAUGAAAGUUGCCCUAUAAUAGUUAUUAUAUAUUAAAGUAAUAAUUACACUUGCAUUUAAUUAUUUCAAACACCUUUUAACCUCUAAAUGAAUAUGUGAUUUUGGUGAUUGAAUAUUAUUGUCUUGCAAGACAGUAUAAUUAUUCUUUAGUUACCUUUGCAUGCUGUCAGCAAAAUGUAAAUGCUGUUUUUGUUUUUAUUUGAGAAAUGAUUUGAUUUGGGUGCAGUGAAUACAUCUUCCGUAUAUAUUUCUUUACAUUAAAAGCGGUUAUCUAACGUAGUUUUAUUAGGGUCAAUUCUCUUGUUUUUGUACAUAAUAAAAAAUAAAUGUUCUUAUUAGUCAUCAAUAUGUAUUUCAAUAUCAUCUCGAGAUUUUGAAAAAAAGAAAAUGGUUGUCAUCACUUUCACAGCUAAUGCCCCUUUAAAAUAAGAUGUAAGUGCACAGUUAUCUGAAUUUUAAUCUAAUUAGAGAAAAAAAAGUGAAGAAAAAAUAUCUAUAUCUAAAUCAAUGGAGAGAGAGAGGGGGGGGGAGAGAGAUUUCUUUUCUUUAUUUACAUGUAUAUCUGAACAUUGAUUACAAUUCAGAUACUGGAUUUGUGAGUUGAAAUUAAUCAAAUGAGAGUGGUAAAAAUUCACCUUUAUAUCGUAUAAUUUAUCCAGGUACGUUAUUCUGGUGUGUGGAAUGCUAAUUGAUACUAAGUUAGAAUAAUCUAAGCUGUAUACCAAAGUAGGUCUUCAUGGAGCUUUACGGUUCUAUGCAUCGCAAAUAGAGAUCGGGUUCAAUGCGUCGGGUGUGGGAUUCACUCAAUAUUAUAUGCUGAGCGCGAAAGUUGAUAUCAACAGACGCCAUGAUGUUAUACCGGUAAACAUCUUGAACAUGAAUCGAGAACAGGAGUUGAUGCAGAUAUUCUGAGGAGAAUCUUCCAAUCAUUGAAAUAUAUUUCAUGAUAGUCGUGAAGAUACAGAAGUUGUGAUGGUGUGUUGAUAGGCUGUCUUCAACUUGCCAUAUCUGAGAGUUCCAACAUGCAGGCCUGGAUUAAUGUGUAUAAAUCACUAAUGAAGUUACUUAGUGUUAUUUAGUUUAAAAAAAAAGAAUGACAUUUCAAUUUAUACACACUUGCCAAGUGAAUCUGAUGACACUGCUACAUGUAUUUGUGAGUAAAGGCACUCUGUCUUCAGUGCUCCCACUGGACCAGAAUUCCCUUUCGCCACUUUUUCGGGGAGUGGCGCGGCACAAAUAAUCACAUGCUUUACAAUUAUUUCCAUAUUUUUUAUUAUUUUCUUCAUUACACUUAUUUUAGCAUUUUUAAUCAGUUACAUUACUUAAUCAUAUCCAGCUACCAUACCUAAACAUUUCUUUCUGAAAUAAUAAGAAGUUGAUUUGUUUGAUAAAUUCUAUUAUGGAAAUCAAAAUUCAGGUAAUAAAUCAUAUAAAUAUAAAGCUUCAUGAUGCUACACCCCUCAGUGAAAACAUUGUGUACAUUGGCCGAAAUGCAGAUGUCACAAAACAUCAAGCCCAAUUUAGAGUCGUAUCUCAACCAUUCCCUAUCAAAUUUCCGUUUUUGUAUGGAAGAUUUUGCAAUUUGGACAGAAUCAGAUGUUUGAGCAGGUGGGGUUGACUGUAAAGCCAAACAUAGAUAUUUUUUUUAAUUUUAGACUGACUAGGGUCAGAAGCUACAAGUUUAGUAUCAAAAUAGAAUGGGGUGCAUAGUCUUAUGAGAUUAGCAUUUUUAUACUGUUGCGCACUGAACUUCAAAGAAAAUUAUUUAUUAAAAUUGCUAUGUCCAUAUGAAUGGUGACCGACCGCAUUGUUUAUGAAAUAUUCGAACUAAAAUCAAACACAUUAAAAUCUUGUAAUCAACGAGUUUGGCCGCAAAAACAAACAAUUGAUGUAUUCGUAUAUACAUUAUAGACAAUAAUACGGCCAAUUUAAUUACCGGUCGGUUCUCUGGUUUAGAAUGGACAUUAAUGUGGAGAUGAUAACACGAUAAUGAAUAAGACUAAAUGUUAAACAAUUGACCACAGCAGGGUAAACAGCUGUCCGAUGUACUUUAUUACAUAAUCACCGACUUUUUUGCAGCCAUAAAUUACCUGAGGCUGUGACCAGCUCUGUGUGCACUGGAGCGACGCGAGAUUUUCGGUCACACGCGUUGACUGAAUAAACUGAUUUUGACUGCAUAAACAAACAGGCGAUAAUGUGUCAUUGACAAAGGAUUAAAAAUACAAUUUAUUGCAAAAAGGGAUUUUCGCCACUUUCAAUUUUUUUUCGCCAUUUUUGAAAAAAAUUCGCCAUUGGCGAAAAUGGCGAAGCCCAGCUCGAGCACUGUCUGUCUUAACCGAAAAACUACUUACAGUUUAUCACAACAAAUGGAUGGGACAGUCGAGUUGUUGCGGACAAUAUGUGAUUGUGAUGACCAAGUACUGAACAAGUGGAAGAUUAGAAGAAGGUCCAGAAUUCAAUCAUGUUUUUGAUUCUAAGGCGCAGACAGCAUGGAGAUAGUCCUAUUAUUCUCCCAUUCAUCUAUGAUGGAGAAACUUGUGUAAAUGUUUACAGUGUUCUCCCUAAUAAGGGCCCACAAGUCUAUUAAUUUAUCAGAAUAUAAAGUCCUUCACAGUACUCAGAAGUACUGACUUUAAAAUUCAUGUAGAUUGUCUCCAGAUUUUUCUGAGGAAAAGUGCAUAGUUCACAUGUGUGAAUUUUGAAUAUAUUUCAUUCUUGUCUGCAAAUGUUGCUGAAACCUGUUAUUGAUGCACAAUGCACAUAGUCAUGUUAUGCAAAUGAUAGACCUCCUUUUUAAUUACAUGUCCUUAAGAUCAUGUCAACUCCUUUGUCUUAAUUGUAUAUACAAUUCUAGCAUUUAUAGCAUCAUUUGUAUAGCACUUGCUAGUUUAAUAAGGAUUUUAUUUUUUAAAAACUUUCAUUUGACAUGAUUGAUCUAAAACGGCCAAAAUUCACAAAUCUAUUUAAAUCACAACCUGACCUUAGGCCAGAAAAGUGCCACAGUGGGUUGAUAUUUUUCUCUUCGAUCUUGAAAGAAAUUCUUUAUGCAGCAGUUUCCAAAUAAAAUGUACUCUCAUGGCCAGGGUGGGACUUCACCGAGAACUUUUUAACAUUGCACAAUGCAAUAUUUGUGGAUUAGAAGCUGUUGCAGUUUCUUUAAGUUUUCUCUCACAUCUUGUUAUAAUUAUAUUUUAUAUUUUUGGUCGGGUUGCACAAUGUGCAAACAGUUUAUAAAAUGCUGAAUGACUGGUGGGCAAGCGACAAUAGCGUCCCUGUAAUAGUACCUACUUUGUGUAAUCAACUCCUUUCACACCUCUCACUUGAUGUUCCUCAAACUUUGUACAGUUGUUAGGGAUACAUCGAAGAUGUGCGUGUACCUUUUUGAAAGUGAUCAGACAUUUUUUGAAAAAUUUACAUGUAGUUAAACUUCCUCAUUUUUUAAGCAUUUCUUUAAUCGACAGUAUCUAUUUUGUGUAAUCAGCUCCUCGUAUACCUCUAAUUUGACAUUCCUCAAACUGUGUACAGUUGUUAUGAAUACAUUGAAGAUGUGCAUAUGUGUUUUUGAAAGUGAUCAGACAUUUUAAAAAAAAAAAUGUACAUGUAGUUGAACUUAAGUCAUUUUAAAGCAUUUCUUGAAUAGAUGGUAACUAUUUUGUGUAAUCAAAUCCUCAUGCACCUCUAACUUGACAUUCCUUAAAAUUUGUACAGUUGUUAUGAACACAUUGAAGAUGUGCAUGUGUCUUUUUGAAAAUGAUUAGACUUUUUUUUUUUUAAUUACGUGUAGUUGAACUUGUUAUUUUUUUAUGCAUUUCUUGAAUAGAUGGUACCUAUUUUGUGUGAUCAACUCGUGCACAUCUAAAUUGAUAUUCCUCAAACUUUGUACAGUAGUUAUGGACACAUUGAAGAUGUGCAUGUGUCUUUUUGAAAGUGAUCAGACUUUUUUCAAAAAAAUUACAUUUAGUUCAACUUUGUCAUUUUUAUAAAGCAUUUCCUGAAUAGUUGGUACCUAUUUUUUGUAAUCAACUCCUCUUACAGCAUUUAUUUGACAUUCUUCAGACCUUGAACAGCUGUUAUGGAAGCAUUGUAAAUGUGCAUGUGUCUUUUCGGAAGUGAUCAGGCAUUCUUUGAAAAAUUUACAUGUGCAUGGUGAAGUUGAACUUAGUCAUUUUUUAAGCAUGGUACUUUAUGUAACCAACUCAUCUUUUACUUAACAUUUUCCAAACCCUGUACAUUAUAGAUGUUAUAAAAACAUUGAAGAUUUACAUCUAACAUUUUAAAAAUGUUUCUCUCUUUUUUUUCUUCUUUUUGUUGUUGUCAUUUUUCCAGUAUGUUUCUACUGUUGUUCCUAUGAUAGAUAACAUAUUUUACAAGAACCUGGUCAUUUCUGUUUUUGAAUCUCUCUUUUUUUUAAUUAGUAUUUUUGAAUAUGUUAAUUACUUGAUAUGUCAUUGUUCUUGAAAUUAUAUUAAUUGAAUUAUUAUUGUGUUUUUGUUUUGUAAUAUGACAGUUUAUAUAGGAUCCCUUAAUUUCAAGCAGAUAGUGCCAAAAGUGUGCCGCAAACUGUGUGCCAGAAGUGUGCAGCAAGAGCGUGCCGCAAGUUUGCCGCAAACUGUGUGCCAGAGGAAAAAUUUGCAUACGAAAAGUAUACUUGCGGCAAAUAUGCCGCACACUGUGUGCCAGAAGUGUGCAGCAAGUGUGUGCCGCAAGUUUGCUGCAAACUGUGUGCCAGAGGAAAAAUUUGCAUACGAAAAGUAUACUUGCGGCAAAUAUGCCGCACACUGUGCCAGAAGUGUGCAGCAAGUGUGUGCUGCAACUGUGCCACAAACUGUGUGCCAGAGGAAAAAUUUGCAUACGAAAAGUAUACUUGCGGCAAAUGUGCCGCAACUAGUUGCGGCAAACUUGCCGCAAAUGCGCUGCAAAUUUGCAGCAACUGUGUGCCAGAGGGCUUAUAUUUUGGUAAGGGUACUGGAUCCGUCCCUGCUGCUCAUUGAUAAUUAAUGAGUGACGGGGCGGGAACCAAAGUAAAUCAGAUCUCCUUUAUCUUCAGUAUUUCCAUGCCAAAUGUUUAAACGAGAUAUCUUUAAAAUAGUCGAUUUGAAUUCAAAAUUUGAUCUAAGUGAUAUGUCUAUAUGGAUAGCUCUAGAUAUUUUGCUUCAUCCCCUAAAGUAUCGGACAUCAGGUCACUGUCUAAGGAUCGGACAUCAGGUCAGUGUCUGCAAGUGCUUCCUGUACCGAUACUAAGCUGUGUACUUCUGAUGAAUACAACACAGGCACUUAUAAAUAUCAAUCAACGUUGUUUUGGGGUUUUUUUUUUAAAGUGUGGGGGCCACCCGGAAGAAAAAUUGGACGGUGGCUUUUCUAAGAAAUUUGACAAUCGAUAAUGAUGAUACUACUGCUAAUUAAACAAAACCAGUUUUUCGCACGAUAUUGUAAAUCCUAAUUCGUGCGCGCGAGUGUGUGUGUGUGUGUGUACGUAGCGGGGCCGGUAUAUGCUAUGAUUGCGUCUUAAUUUUUUCCCAAAACAAACUGCUCAUAUUUUGCCAAUCUAAUUAAAAUUAGAUCUUCCAUCCGCGACGUAUCGAAAACUGGGGAGCGGAUGGAAGAUCUAAUUUUAAUUAGAUUGAUAUUUUGCUAAAUAGUCUGCAUUCAUAAUCUUCAAGCUUACAUUCUAGCCCCCCCCCCCCCCCCCCCCCCCCCCCCCCCUCGAUUCUUCUACGUGCCUGCAACACAUGUUACAAAUGAAAAUCGGCUGUUCGAAAAUAUCUAGAACGGAAAUCAGACUUAACGCUGUUGAAGUAAUGUCGGACCAUCCCAGUGGCGGAUCUAGAGGGGAUUGGGGGGUUGCUCCCUUAAGUUGAAUAUUUUCAACAAAUAUGGUCAUUUUUGCCCCAACCACCACCCUUUUGGGAUGGAAUAGGUACAUACUUGGGUUGCAUCCCCCUGCCUUUGAGAAAAGAAUUCUGGACCUGCCACUGUAUCCUGACUAAUCUAGUGUUUUUCUGGUUUCUUUUGAUUGUUCCUGGACCUGUUUUCUGUUGUAGUAAGACCGGAGCUCGUGCCCUCUAUCUAUUCGUGCUCCUUUUCUAAAAGUUCUCUCCCGUCCAUCACAUUCGAAACUAACCAUGGUUCUGAAGACCGAAGCCAGUGAAAAUGGGCGAGGGCUGAAAUGUAUCACAUUCACAAGUUCGCUUCUCAAUGCAAAAUAUCCCAG